rnacentral:rRNA from 1 species
UACAGAGGUCCCAAGCGUUGUUCGGAUUCACUGGGCGUAAAGGGUGCGUAGGUGGUGAGGUAAGUCGGAUGUGAAAUCUCCGAGCUCAACUCGGAAAUGGCAUUGGAAACUACCUUGCUCGAGGGUUGGAGGGGGGACUGGAAUGCUUGGUGUAGCAGUGAAAUGCGUAGAUAUCAAGCGGAACACCAGUGGCGAAGGCGGGUCUCUGGUCAGUAACUGACGCUGAGGAGCGAAAGCGUGGGGAGCGAACAGG